rnacentral:Y_RNA from 1 species
ACCUGGUCCGAAGAUCGUGAGUUAUCACAAUUGAUUGUUCAGUUAUAGAUAGAACUCAUUGUUCUACUCUUUCCCUUCUCACUACUGCACUUGACUAGUCAU